rnacentral:rRNA from 1 species
UGGGGAAUUUUGGACAAUGGGCGAAAGCCUGAUCCAGCAAUGCCGCGUGUGUGAAGAAGGCCUUCGGGUUGUAAAGCACUUUUGUCCGGAAAGAAAUCCUUGGCUCUAAUACAGUCGGGGGAUGACGGUACCGGAAGAAUAAGCACCGGCUAACUACGUGCCAGCAGCCGCGGUAAUACGUAGGGUGCAAGCGUUAAUCGGAAUUACUGGGCGUAAAGCGUGCGCAGGCGGUUUGCUAAGACCGAUGUGAAAUCCCCGGGCUCAACCUGGGAACUGCAUUGGUGACUGGCAGGCUAGAGUAUGGCAGAGGGGGGUAGAAUUCCACGUGUAGCAGUGAAAUGCGUAGAGAUGUGGAGGAAUACCGAUGGCGAAGGCAGCCCCCUGGGCCAAUACUGACGCUCAUGCACGAAAGCGUGGGGAGCAAACAGGAUUAGAUACCCUGGUAGUCCACGCCCUAAACGAUGUCAAUUAGUUGUUGGGGAUUCAUUUCCUUAGUAACGUAGCUAACGCGUGAAGUUGACCGCCUGGGGAGUACGGUCGCAAGAUUAAAACUCAAAGGAAUUGACGGGGUCAUAGCUGUUUCCU